AAAGGUAAACCUUAUAAGCUAAUAACGACUUUACGCUUCAGCUAGCAAGGUUGCUAACAAAAGAUUUUGUUUGAACCUGUACAUACUCAAGUCCGAUUGCUGUAAUGUCUGUAUUAUAAGCUAGUUUAAAAAAUGAGGGAAAUUUGAUGUCACACGCCAAGCUGACAAACUAUGGCACUUUAUAAUGUGAUUAAAUCUUUUGAUCUGUUCUUGUAUUUUACAGGUCAGCUUAGAGAUCCCUUGCAAUUACUCUAGUCUAUUAGACCUUCCUGAAGAAUUAGUGAUAAUGAACAUAUUAUAAAAUGGCUGACACUGUAAAUCCUUUGCGUUACCCAGGUGACACUGCUUCAACGGAUGAG